UCCCAUAAGGGGAGCACCGCUCAGCCAGAAGCCGGGUUCAUGGCUGGUGAGCACAGCGGUGGUGGCAGGAGCCUCUCCUGCCUCCAUGGCAGCGCUAAGGAGCAACAAGCUGAGCAGUAAGGAGCAGCAAGCCGAGAGGUUCACCAAUACAUCUGCAGCAAUGUUCCAAUGGCAGACAAAACUAAUUUGCAAACAAACUGUGAAUCACUAGCAGGGCUAAGAAAUAUUUCUAGGAAUCAUCUCAUUCACACAGAAAUGAGAGUAGUGUCUAUUCAGAUGCAAAGAGGAAAGUCGUGGUAGCUAUACAUUUCCUGCAUGAGUUAGCUGUGUUAAAGCUCUUCAAAACAGAGGUUCAAUUCCAGUCAAGAGCACAUGACCAGGUUGCUGGCUUGAUCCCCAGUGUGGGUCGUGCAGGAG